CUCAAUGACGAGACACAGAGGAAGUACAUACAGGCAUUAAAGAGAUUGAUGACACAGUGUCAGAAGAUUUUCCCAACAGAUCCAUCCUUCAGUGUCAACUACGAGAGACCUAAUUCAUGAGAGCCAGAGAAGAAGGUUACCCUAAUAUUCAACUAAAUUUAUCAACACCAGUCUUUGGCUCAAGAUUGUGCAUUGUAAUAGAGAUUUGCAUGCUCUGCAGAGCUGGAAUUUUUUUAAAAAAAUAUCACCAAAACAAUGUCUGUGAAAAUAUUAAUUUUAUUCUAAUGAAAGCUGUUAAACUGGAAGCAAACCUGUGGUGUAGAUCAGUGUCGAAAUUUAAACAAAACUGAGCAAUCAGUUGAGAUAAUUUGUAACGUCUGUGCUAUUCUUUAAGUACAAAUUAAAUUUUUAAAAAAAUCUUGCUUGUAUGUAAGAUUUGUAAUUAUGAAUGUGCAAAAAUAAAAUAAUAAAAAUAAAAAAAAUUCCAAAAGUU
rnacentral:misc_RNA from 1 species